GACCCCGCCAGCCCCAGCAUCGCGCGCCGCAUCCGCGGCCCCGCAGCUCCGCCCCCGGCCCGGCCCGGCCCCGGGCCCGCUCGCCCGCCGCCCCGCAUGGAGCUGUCAGCCAUCGGCGAGCAGGUGUUCGCCGUGGAGAGCAUCCGGAAGAAGCGCGUGCGGAAGGGUAAAGUCGAGUAUCUGGUGAAGUGGAAAGGAUGGCCCCCAAAGUACAGCACGUGGGAGCCAGAAGAGCACAUCUUGGACCCCCGCCUCGUCAUGGCCUACGAGGAGAAGUACGGUGUCCUCGGCACCGCCGGGUGGGGCUUAGGGCCGGCUCAGAGGCUUCCCAGGAGCCUGCUGCUGGCUUGGCAGGGGUUGUUGGGGCAGGGUGGGGGUGUCCGAUGGGGCAGGCCAGCCUGGCCUGCAGCUGGGUGAAAGUGGUGGGCACUGAUUCCCAGGGCAGCUGAGGACCCUGGGGCCCUUUCCUGUUGUUGGGUGAUCUUGGUCACUUCCUUUACCCACCCGGGCCUCAGUCUCUCUGCUG
rnacentral:sRNA from 1 species